rnacentral:rRNA from 1 species
GACGAACGCUGGCGGCGUGCUUAACACAUGCAAGUCGAACGGAAAGGCCCUGCUUUUGUGGGGUGCUCGAGUGGCGAACGGGUGAGUAACACGUGAGUAACCUGCCCUUGACUUUGGGAUAACUUCAGGAAACUGGGGCUAAUACCGGAUAGGAGCUCCUGCUGCAUGGUGGGGGUUGGAAAGUUUCGGCGUUUGGGGCUGGACUCGCGGCUUAUCAGCUUGUUGGUGGGGUAGUGGCUUACCCAGGCUUUGACGGGUAGCCGGCUUGUGAGGGUGACCGGCCACAUUGCGACUGAGAUACGGCCCAGUCGCGUACGGGAGGCAGCAGUGGGGAAUAUUGCACAGUGGGCGGAAGCCUGAUGCAGAAACGCCGGGUGCGGGAUGACGGCCUGCGGGUAGUAAACCGCUUUCGCCUGUGACGAAGCGUGAGUGACGGUAAUGAGUAAAGAAGCACCGGCUAACUACGUG